UACGUAGGGAGCAAGCGUUGUCCGGAAUCAUUGGGCGUGAAGCGCGCGUAGGCGGCCCUGUAAGUCCGUUGUGAAAGUCAAAGGCUCAACCUUUGAAAGCCGAUGGAUACUGCAGGGCUAGAGUCCGGAAGAGGCGAGUGGAAUUCCUGGUGUAGCGGUGGAAUGCGCAGAUAUCAGGAGGAACACCAAUGGCGAAGGCAGCUCGCUGGAACGGUACUGACGCUGAGGCGCGAAAGCGUGGGGAGCGAACAGG
rnacentral:rRNA from 1 species